GAGAAGUGUAAAGUGCUGCUUGAGUUCAUUCCACCUUCUUGCUGUCUCAAUGACCCGGUCUCUAAUUCUUGGUUAUGGGGAAUCCUGAUUUUAUUGCUCGGCCCAGCAAUCUGAAAGCACAGAAAAGUAUGAAGCAUUGUCACUAGGGGGAAAACAGGGUGCAGUUAAUGCUUGAUGAUACGAGGCUGGUGAUACGAGUUACAAGUCCCUAGCAUGCAAUUUCUCUUUUUUCAGGCUACCACAACCGUAAGUUACAGACAAAUGAAAACUUGAUGAAGGAUCUAUGACAGUACCCAUUCCACUCCCCUCCACUGACCUCCAUCUAUCAUGAAUGCAACUGGUCUGUAUCAU